rnacentral:rRNA from 1 species
GACGAACCGUGCGAACGUUGUUCGGAUUCACUGGGCUUAAAGGGCGCGUAGGCGGGCCAGCAAGUCGGGGGUGAAAUCUUUCGGCUCAACCGGAAAACAGCCUUCGAUACUGGUGGCCUGGAGUGGGGCAGGGGCGGCCGGAACUUCCGGUGGAGCGGUGAAAUGCGUAGAUAUCGGAAGGAACGCCGGUGGCGAAAGCGGGCCGCUGGACCCCAACUGACGCUGAGGCGCGAAAGCCAGGGGAGCGAACGGG